CCUACGGGUGGCUGCAGUGGGGAAUAUUGGACAAUGGGCGAAAGCCUGAUCCAGCCAUGCCGCGUGUGUGAAGAAGGCCUUCGGGUUGUAAAGCACUUUCAGUGGGGAAGAAAGCCUUGGGGCUAAUACCCUCGAGGAAGGACAUCACCCACAGAAGAAGCAACGGCUAACUCCGUGCCAGCAGCCGCGGUAAUACGGAGGGUGCGUGCGUUAAUCGGAAUUACUGGGCGUAAAGCGCGCGUAGGCGGUCUGAUAAGCCGGUUGUGAAAGCCCCGGGCUCAACCUGGGAACGGCAUCCGGAACUGUCAGGCUAGAGUGCAGGAGAGGAAGGUAGAAUUCCCGGUGUAGCGGUGAAAUGCGUAGAGAUCGGGAGGAAUACCAGUGGCGAAGGCGGCCUUCUGGACUGACACUGACGCUGAGGUGCGAAAGCGUGGGUAGCAAACAGGAUUAGAUACCCUUGUAGUC
rnacentral:rRNA from 1 species